rnacentral:rRNA from 1 species
AUAGAAGGAAGGCCUAUGGCGAAGGCAAUUAUCUGGGUAUAUACUGACACUGAGAAACGAAAGCUUGGGUAGCGAACGGGAUUAGAUCCCCCGGUAGUCCAUGCCGUAAACGAUGAGUGCUAAUAUUUAGAAUUUUUAGAUAUAACAGCUAACGCGUUAAGCACUCCGCCUGAAAAGUAUAAUCGCAAGAUUGAAAUUCAAAGGAAUUGACGGGAGUCUACACAAGCGGUGGAGCAUGUGGUUUAAUUCGAUAAUACGCGCAAAACCUUACCAACUCUUGCUAAUUUUUAUAUAAAAUUUUAUAUAAAAAACAGGUGUUGCAUGGCUGUCGUCAGCUCGUGUUGUGAAAUGUUUGGUUAAAUCCUUUAACGAGCGCAACCCCUAUUGUUAGUUGCUAAUUUAUUAAAAUAAAAUAAAAGAACUUUAACAAAAAGAUUAAUGAUAGGUUAAUGGAAGAUGGGGAUGACGUCAAGUCUUUAUGGCCCUUAUGAGUUGGGCUACACACGUGCUACAAUGAUAAUCACAAUGAGAAGCAAUAAUGUUAAGUUGGAGCAAAUCUUUAAAAAUUAUCUUAGUUCGGAUUAAGGGCUGAAACUCGCCCUUAUGAAGUUGGAAUCGCUAGUAAUCGCAAAACAGCAUGUUGCGGUGAAUAUGUUACUGGACUUUGUACACACCGCCCGUCACAUCAGGGAAGUUAAUUAUUUUUAAAAUGAUUUUAAUGUAUUUAAUAAUUUUAAAUAACUAUUUAAUUAAAAUAAUUUAUAAUUUAAUUUAAAUAAAUUAAAAUACUUAGAAAGUAAUUAGUAACUUUGAUGAAGUCGUAACAAGGUAGUCGUAGGGGAACCUGUGUCUG